CGUAUGGCGACCGGCGCACGGGUGAGUAACACGUAUCCAACCCGCCGAUGACUCGGGGAUAGCCUUUCGAAAGAAAGAUUAAUACCCGAUGGCAUAGUUCUUCCGCAUGGUAGAACUAUUAAAGAAUUUCGGUCAUCGAUGGGGAUGCGUUCCAUUAGGUUGUUGGCGGGGUAACGGCCCACCAAGCCUUCGAUGGAUAGGGGUUCUGAGAGGAAGGUCCCCCACAUUGGAACUGAGACACGGUCCAA
rnacentral:rRNA from 1 species